CCUACGGGUGGCAGCAGUGAGGAAUAUUGGUCAAUGGCCGAGUGGCUGAACCAGCCAAGUCGCGUGAGGGAAGACGGCCCUACGGGUUGUAAACCUCUUUUGUCGGGGAGCAAAGAGAGUCACGUGUGACUCAUUGAGAGUACCCGAAGAACAAGCAUCGGCUAACUCCGUGCCAGCAGCCGCGGUAAUACGGAGGGUGCGAGCGUUGUCCGGAUUUAUUGGGUUUAAAGGGUGCGUAGGCGGCUUGGCAAGUAAGAAGUGAAAUCCAUGGGCUUAACCCAUGAACUGCUUUUGAAACUGCAGAGCUUGAGUGGAGUAGAGGUAGGCGGAAUUCCCGGUGUAGCGGUGAAAUGCGUAGAGAUCGGGAGGAACACCAGUGGCGAAGGCGGCCUACUGGGCUCUAACUGACGCUGAGGCACGAAAGCGUGGGUAGCAAACAGGAUUAGAUACCCGAGUAGUC
rnacentral:rRNA from 1 species